rnacentral:sRNA from 1 species
AAAAGCGGAGCAUGCGCAAAAUCACUUGCAGCUCGUUAAUUUAUUUCGUUCAAAGAUUUCGCUUGGCCGAAAAUAAACCCAUGAGCGCAGCUUGGAAACUGGAAGUGGAACUUCUUGCUCGGCCAAACGCACACACUCAAAUGGCAGCUGCGACGUCGACGUCGACCAAGGAGGACCGGCAGCGCAGGCAGCAA